GCCAGGAUGGUCUAAUCGGUUAAGGCGUCGCCCCGGUCAGGCAAAGGUUGCGGGUUCAAUCCCCGCUCCUGGCC
rnacentral:tRNA from 1 species